GCCAGCGUGGCGGAAUUGGCAUACGCGCACGGUUCAGAGCCGUGUUCCGCAAGGAUUGUGGGUUCGAAUCCCACCACUGGCA
rnacentral:tRNA from 1 species